rnacentral:sRNA from 1 species
GCUAGGUAUAGUGGCGCAUACCUGUAAUCCCAGUUACUUGGGAGGUUGAGGCAGGAGGAUUGCAAGUUCAAGGCCAGCAACUUAGUAAGAAUCUGUCUCAA